AUUGUGGAUUCAUGUACUUCUGGGACGGGGCUCAAAUAUUUUGAAUCACUUUUGGUGGCUGUGACUCUUAAAGCCACUGGAUUCAAGUGGUUCGUCUAUUUGUAUUUUAUUAGCACAGCACCAGACCUCCCUGGCAUUCCAGAGAAAUUUGAGAUGAGGCAAUAGUGAGAAGAAAAGAUGCCAAUCAGGAAUUGUCCUUCUCUCGUCUUUAAAUGAAUUUUCUUUCUGUCAGCUGUAGGGCACACAAGAGGAAGCGUCAGAUUUAAAUCCUCACCAGGUCUGAAGAGCACUAGACCAUCGGACAACAGCGCUGAAAGAAUCCCCAUAGAUUCUGGAAAUUAAAGGCAGCUCAUACAGUGUCCUCUAGGCAGGUCAAUCUGUGUGACCCAUUUAUAAGCCAUGCAGCAGAGGGGGGAAGGACAAUGAACACUCUGCAACCAUCAUUAACGGCCUUGAUCAUUUUACAGAAAUGAUAGGUCGUCGGGAUGAGCUGAAGACGUGCGAGGCGCGAGCUCUGGCCCGGCUGAGACGGCUGUGCCGGUACCGCACAGCACCGCUGGGCCGCGCCUGCGGAGGAGCCCAGGGCACGGCAUGGAGAAGUGCGGCCGGAACCCAGCAGCCGGCCUGGGGAAAUACUCGGAGGGUGAGAACGUAAUGAGCAUCAUGCCACGUCUUCACCAAUGCACGUGUUCUCCUGGUGAGGAUUUUAAAACAAAAAUUCUCAUCCGCCUGGAAUUUACAGACAGAGGCAGAGGCACGUACAUGAAAUGGUAACAGCAAACAAAGAUCUCUGAGGAUAUUGUCAUGCCAUUAUGUGGGGUGUUUAUGAGGGUCAGGACGAAAGAAAAUUUCUCUGCUGACUGUAGCUGAACUAGUAGUUGUGCAAAAUAAAAGUGUGAAAAGUUG